rnacentral:tRNA from 1 species
CCCUGGAAGCUCAGAUGUAAAGCAUCUGCCUGCAAUGCAGGAGACCUGGGUUUGAUCCCUGGUUCAGGAA